UACGAAGGUGGCAAGCGUUGUUCGGAUUUACUGGGCGUACAGGGAGCGUAGGCGGUUGGGUAAGCCCUCCGUGAAAUCUCCGGGCCUAACCCGGAAAGUGCGGAGGGGACUGCUCGGCUAGAGGAUGGGAGAGGAGCGCGGAAUUCCCGGUGUAGCGGUGAAAUGCGGAGAGAUCGGGAGGGAGGCCGGUGGCGAAGGCGGCGCUCUGGAACAUUUCUGACGCUGAGGCUCGAAAGCGUGGGGAGCAAACAGG
rnacentral:rRNA from 1 species